rnacentral:rRNA from 1 species
CGAGACCGGGAGGUUAAGCAAAUCCCAAAAAUAACGUCUCAGUUCGGAUUGUAGUCUGCAACUCGACUACAUGAAGCUGGAAUCGCUAGUAAUCGCAGAUCAGAAUGCCGCGGUGAAUACGUUCCCGGGUCUUGUACACACCGCCCGUCACACCAUGGGAGUCGGAAAUGCCAGAAGUCGGUGACCGAACCGAAAGGAAGGAGCCGCCGAAGGCAGGUCUGGUGACUGGGGUGAAGUCGUAACAAGGUAUC